GGAAAGCGCCGCUGCCUCGCCAGCCCCGGGCCUGUGACACAGGCGGUUUCGCUGGCAGCGAGUAUAUUUAGCACUUCCCCGAGCCCUUCGCAUGCUCCAGCCCCGGUGCGGAGCGCUCGCUUAAUUAAUUGACGCAGCUCUCGCCCCGCGGUGCCACAUGACGGGGACGGUGGGCGGCCGAGGGCACGGCCCUACAGGUUUUCACGACUGUUCUGUUGCUGUAACCACCAUGGAUGUGAAUGCUGUGGUGAUAAAGGCUUGCUGUUUUCUCAUUCUGGAUUCCUCAAAUCCAAGAGCUACUCAGCAGUUUCCAAGGCAACCACCUGUGGAAUAAUUAAAAAGGAUGAAGUGUUGGUGUGCCAGAUGCACGGAAUUCUUGCCUGGAGAGAGCACUUCGUUUUCAGCUGUUUCGAAUGUGAUUCUGCCAGCACAGUUCAGAGGAAGAAAUGAUGGCAGAGUUGUCAUACAAGCAUCCAGGGACAAUUCAAAAAGUGCUGAUCUUCUGUGAGUGCCUUCCCCGUGCCAAAGAAAGAACAUGUUUUUGAUGGAAAGCCUACUUUUAAAUGAGUACAAACAGAAAGUGUCACUCCUCAUGGGAGGGGUCAGGAAUACUUGAAUCUUCAGCUAGAAGAUCUUCUGCAGCCUGUUUAUCAGAUUGAGGACAACCCUUUCUCAUUCAUAAUGGAUUGUUCAGAAAAAAAGACAAUUGGACGUGGUAGAAGCUGUUUUUUUCCUAAGCGUGGCCCAAGGACAGCUGCAUCAGUACAACUGGAGGUGACAUGAACUGCAGCAUCAGAGGCACAGCAAGCACUGGAGGAUGUCCCAAUGUUAAGUGGUCUUGCUGUCAGCAAAAACCUGCUCUGGUAUUGUAUCCCAGUUGGACGGGUUUCACUGGAUGUAGAAAUAUUUAUUGAACUGUUCAUUUGUUUGUUUUUAAGGAUUAAUAUCUUGGGGUUUUGUGUUGUUUGGAUUUUUUUUUUUUUUUUUUUUUGCUUGAGAUAAACCAUCUAUCUGAGAAAUAAGUCAGCUUUGUGGACAGCCAGUGGAUGUCAAUAAAGUCUUGGCAAACGCAGUAGGUAUUUAUUCAGCCUUGCAAAUUAGAAACAUUUCUCCUGCUUGUUUUAUGAAGGGAACAAAAAAAGACAAAUUACAUAGCGGGUGAGCUCUCUUGAUAGUUGGAAUUCGUUUGUCUGGUGGUGAAAACGCUGGGGGAUUUAUG